AUGCCUCGCUGCACUCAUCCGGCAUAUCCUCCUGACGGCCGCCAUAUCCGUGCCGACGCUGGCGGCGGCGGUGGACAACUCCUCACCGACGUGGAUGGAACAUCUCGACGCAUUGCAGAUGUAACCGUGGACGCCGCCCGCUCCAACGUCCAGACGAGGCUCCAGCUCCACGGUGGGCGGCAGCUUCCACCACGAGGUGAGCAUGCGGCAUCUGGAAAAACGUCUGUUCCUGAUCCUCAAAUGUCACGUUUCCAGGAGAAAACCCGGGCUUCCUGCACACCGUGGCUGCCUCGACAUCGACGGUGCGAGUACCCUCAUCACGAUGUGCCCGCGCAGUCGGAAAAGCCGCUGCUGGAGCCAAAGGACACCAGCACAUCCUCUUCCUCCACGCAGGCAGAGGCGGCAACUCAUGACGUCCCGCCAAUGCCAAGCCACUCGUCUCCACCUGUUUUGGCUUGGUUUUUUCCUGGUUGGCCUAUACAGUUUCUCAUCAGAACAGAUCGUGGAGGUUCUUUCCACACGUAUCCUCGCCUGAGCGGGCCAUUCCAGAGCUUGCAGGAAGCCGAGAAUGCUUUCGAUAACCAUCUUGAUGACCUGCGCUCUCCAAUAAUGUGCACAGAUGGGCUUCCGCAAGCGGAAAAAGCGGUAUGGCAUGCUCUUUACUGGCCUGAUGGCACAAGAAGGAUGUCUUCCAAAAGCCAUCCAACACGUCGGAAUAUCAACCUAUUGGUUCAAGCUUUACUGGACAAGUACAGUGAAGAUCACCGUCUUUUGGGGGAUCUUGCAUAUGAACUUGAUGGUCUUGUGACCUUCCAAGAAUUUUAUAUGGGGGAGACUAGCUGCCUCAAAAUGUACUGUCAUCUCAAUUUUACUACAAAAACUAAAGGAGCUGAUGGUUCUCACGGUGGCAGCAACAAUCUAUUCUUUGCUGAGGUCGCACGAAUAAAGGGCGAAAAUGUAGAAUAUGUGCUCAAUUGUUUCUGUAUGGUGCAACAUAAUGACAAUGGUAUUUUGUUCCGCCUUUAA
rnacentral:rRNA from 1 species